CUCGCUACCCAGACGACCUCUCUGAAGAGUGACAACAUGGAGACCAAGAUGGCGCGACAGUAAAGCAACGUGAGAGGGAAGAGCUUUCACCAGCCGGUUCUCUGGUUAAUGGACAUUAUGUCUUUCAUUUGGGAAGGACUUUGCACAGUCUGUCCAGGGAGGGGUGUCCAUCAGUCACACCCUGCAGGAUGGGAAGCACUGCUACGAGGUGGAGUCGGUCCUGAAGACAAGAGGAGGAGGAGUUGGAGCAUUUGCUAGGAAGGGUGACAAGAUUCUGACGAUGAACGGGGUGAGUCUGCAGGACAUCACACCAGAGGGGUUUGCAGACAUGCUGAUUGAGGAAGCCCCCAUACUGACAGUCCACCAAGGUCACCCCAACAGUGAUACUGGCUGUCCGACCCUAACCUGCCCAGACAGGGGCUCUCUCUGCCCCUUCUUCAAAGAAUCAACCCUCCUCAGUUUCAGUCUGGAGAUGAAGAGGGAGGAGGAUCUGGAGGAAGAGGAGGAGAAGGAAGAGGGGCCAGGAAUUUGUCCAGGCACGGAUGAUGCCAAGAAACCCCAAGGGGGAGGGGCUUCCGACGAGAGGGAAGGAGUGGACAUGGUCCUGGUUGCCAUGACAAACACCACCAUUUCGGUUGUGAGGGGCCGCGGUUGUGACUCGGGGAGCCCCUGCCAUGACUGCGGAGGUACUGGGUGUACGUUCAACGAUGUUGUGGUGGUGGCGGGUUCCAGCAACGUGACUCUAGUGGCACGAGGAGGGGAGAGUUUCAAAAAGCUGGAGAGGGACAGAAAGAACAUCUGCAUUGAACACCUGAACACUCACUUCUACCUGAGGAAAUCCUGCCCCAAAUCUUCCCCCUACAUGUCGCCUAACCCAGAGAAGAUGACCAUCUACUACUACGCAUCGGACAGUGUUGAUGGGACGUUCAAGGGAAUGCCCGUGGCGCUCAACUUCACCGACUCUAACUGCUACCUGAAGUGCAGCAAGGAGAGUGACAGGGUGUCUCUGUGCAUAGAGACAUGUGACAAGAAGGAGCUGAAGAUGAUUCCACCGGGCGACCAGGAUGCUCUCGGUUUCCUGUUUUACAUGAAGGCAGCCUCGGUAAGAAGCCUGCUGAAGUUCGAAUCCGUUGCCUUUCCCGGUUGGUUUAUCCACACCAACAGUCGUUCCGGCGAGCUAGCCCCAUCAGCCCAGGUGAAACAGAUGGAAAAGGGACAGGAAAAAGAGGCUUUGUUCUUUUUUCUCAUUAAGAACAACUGAGGGACCUUGAAGACCCAAAUUACUGCAACAAGAGUGGUUCCAAGAUGGCAGCAAGUUGUACGUAACGGUUGGGAAGUGCCCCUGUGACAAGAAGCUUGGACCCCCUUUUGGCCCCCCUUAAAGAUCCCAUGACAUGCUGUUUUUGGAUGCUUUUAUAUAGGCCUUAGUGGUCCCCUAAUACUGUAUCUGAAGUUUAUUUCCCGAAAUUCAGCCUUGGUGCAGAAUUACAGCCACUACGAGCAGUCCCACAAUGAGCUUUCCUUAGGACGUGCUGUUUCUGUGUCUGUAGCUUUAAAUGCUAUGAGAAAGAAAGAGGCGGGGCUAACUGCCAUGCUUUGGUCGUUUGCGAGCCUUGAUGUCUCGAGGAAAACCAAUAUCGCGCUUGCACGGUCGUAGCUCAUUUUCUCAUUGGUGGGCCAAAUUCUCUGUGCGGGCAAAGCAGAGAAAGGGGAGGUAACCUUCAGUUUUAUGACAUCAUAAAACCAGCAUUUUCAAAACCAAGCGUUUCAGCUUUCAUUUUCUCAAAGGCAGAGAAGAAUACCCAGGGCUUGGUUUACACCUAUCGAAAUUGUUUUCCACGGGGGGACCAAAGGCAGGCUAGGGGAACUCAUAUUAAUGUUAAAUAACCUCCUAAAGUGAACAUUUCAUGUCAUGGGACCUUUAAAUGUAGAAUCUUAAUAAUUACAAACAUCGUAUUUUGGCUGCUAAUGCCUGCAUGCAGUAAAGAAAGCUAUCUAAGAGCAAUAGUGUUUAAUGUACUGUAACAGUACAGGCUUGACCUCCACAGUUAAAACGGUCGAAAACCUCCUGCAGCGACAAGUAUAAACACAUUAUACCAACCACCAUUACAGUGUGUCUAUGUUACCAUGUCAUUGAGAUGUGAUACAUUUAGAUGUGGUAGAUUUAGAGGUGAUUCCUUUAGAUGUAAUGUAAUUAGUUGUGUAGUAGUGUACAUCUAAGCUGUGAGUUCAGGCUGUCUACCAAAUGCAGAGCAGACCAUGUGUUUAUGUUACUGUGGCUGAUCAUAAUUAUUGCUCUUACUAAGAAAAGUCAUUGAAUCAGUCACAAUGAUAUUUAAACAUGCGCGAGUGACUAGGGCUAGGCGAUAUAUCGAAUAUUAGAGAUAAUAUCGCAACAAUUUUGUAGACUAUGUACAAUUUGAAAAUAUUGUGAAUAUCAAAUAUUUCAAAUUAAACCAUACUUUCCCAAAUAACGCGCUGAGCAUCCAAUAUUACGUCCCUUUUUCAUCACAUUUUGUACACAUUUUGUACUUUAUAACAAUAGCUGCUCUAUCUAAAUUGUUUUUGUUGUUUUCUAAUGGGGGCAAAAUAAAAUCAUGUUUUUUUAUUAUUUAAAAGCAAAUGCAAACAUAUCUUAUCGAAUAUCGUAAACAUUUUGACAAUAUAGAGAAAAAAAAAAUAUUUAUAUCGCCCAGCCCUACGAGAGAUUACUUACUAUAUAUUACUUUAUCAUUAUCUUACAUCGUUACACUCAUUAUUAUCAUGCCCUGUGUUUAGGCCGGUAAAAUUGCUGUCAGGACCAUAUACAGUAUGAUGUCAUAUACAAGGGCUGCCUUUUGUAUUCACCGUCCUGCAUCUCUGUAAACCAGCUUCAUUUUGACCUUCAUGCCUCAGACUUUACAGCAGACCAUUGCUGUGUCUUCGAUCCAUUAAUUCUCCUUGAAUCCUCUUUCUUGUCCGGUGUUGUGCAUGUAAGCUCAGGAACCUAGACUGUUCACGUGGUCUACCAUGGUCACAUGCAUGGUGGCUUCUUUAUGGCGUGAAAACUAGUGCCAGGAGAGCAAGCUCUGCUAAAAAGAUUUGUGUACUUUCAAAACAGAUUUGUGUACUUGCAAGAAAGAUUUGUGUACUUGCAAGAGAGAUUUAUGUACUUGCAAAAAAGAUUUGUGUACUUGCAAAAAAAGAUGUGUCUCUGUAGAAGGAGGCAGGAACACCGCUCCCAAAACCAUCUAAGAGCCAAUCAAAUAUAGCAAUUUCUGUGUACCGUAUCAUUGGACAUUUUUGUCUGUCUAUCACACAAAAAAAUCAGCAAAUAAGAAAAACUACUACUACAAUUCUGAUGAUUUCAAUCCAGAGUCAUUUGGUAGGUAGUUAAAAAUAUCCAUGGGCAUGUAUCUUUAAUGCAACAUUUAACAUUAUUCGAUUAAUACACUCUUAAAAGUAUAAAUUAAUGGAUAAGGAUCAUAGUAAGUUGAAUCUUUUUUUUGGACGGCUAAUGUUAGGUUUAAUAACUGGUUGUCUAAUUAAAUAUCCAUAUACCUAUUUACAUAAAGAACGAUUCAACUUACUACGAUCCUUAUCCAUGAAUCCACAGCUGUCCUUGUGUGCUUCCUAAUUGAAAUUGACAUCUAUUUUCAUCUGCUGCACAUAUUUGAAUGCUUGUUGAGUGCGAUGUUCUUUAUAUUUUGGCAACAACUAAAAAAAGAGCACACUUUAUAUUAGACUAGAUUUGUGCAAAUGUUAAUCAGAUAUGUGUGUGCAAGUUCUUCAAAUGAUUCAGUUUGACUUUGCUGUGGUAUUUGAUUGUUACUAGAAUAUUUUUUAUAUUGCUUUGUUUCUGGUAUUUUCAUGAAUGCUUUAUCCUGGUAUUUCAGUUCAUGCAUUUUUAUAAUUGUUAAAUGUAGUAUAGAUUAAAGUGUAAUUCUCAGGAAGGUUAUCUAAGAGAAGUUUUUUUUAUUAUUUUUUUAAUUCAAUAAAACAUACUGUAUGUAACUGUUUCUGUUUUUUGAAAGAUGUUUAAUUGAUAUGAAAGUAUUAAAAUCAACACCCAUCCCCAAGACCAGGAUUAUUUACUGUCUGUGCUCAAUAUAUAAACUAGGAAUUCGACAACAUUACUUGACAGUUAACAAAUAAACAACCACUUUUCAAGUGAUU